rnacentral:rRNA from 1 species
GUGGUUUAUUCGAAGCAACGCGAAGAACCUUACCAGGUCUUGACAUCCUCUGACAACCCUAGAGAUAGGGCUUUCCCCUUCGGGGGACAGAGUGACAGGUGGUGCAUGGUUGUCGUCAGCUCGUGUCGUGAGAUGUUGGGUUAAGUCCCGCAACGAGCGCAACCCUUGAUCUUAGUUGCCAGCAUUCAGUUGGGCACUCUAAGGUGACUGCCGGUGACAAACCGGAGGAAGGUGGGGAUGACGUCAAAUCAUCAUGCCCCUUAUGACCUGGGCUACACACGUGCUACAAUGGAUGGUACAAAGGGCUGCAAACCUGCGAAGGUAAGCGAAUCCCAUAAAGCCAUUCUCAGUUCGGAUUGCAGGCUGCAACUCGCCUGCAUGAAGCCGGAAUCGCUAGUAAUCGCGGAUCAGCAUGCCGCGGUGAAUACGUUCCCGGGCCUUGUACACACCGCCCGUCACACCACGAGAGUUUGUAACACCCGAAGUCGGUGAGGUAACCUUCAUGGAGCCAGCCGCCUAAGGUGGGACAGAUGAUUGGGGUGAAGUCGUAACAAGGUAGCCGUAUCGGAAGGUGCGGUGA